CCCUAUGAUGAGGAACGUAUUCACACUGUAUGAGUUAUGCAAUGAACAAAACAAAACAAAAACUGAUUUAAUGAGACUGAGG
rnacentral:snoRNA from 1 species